AAGCCUGUAGGUUAAUAAAACCACUAGCCUUCAAAGCUGGAAUUGUGUAAGCUAGGCUUG
rnacentral:tRNA from 1 species